rnacentral:tRNA from 1 species
UCCGACGUGGUGUAGUGGCUAACAUUAUCGCCUCUCAUACAUCGGUGAACCGUAACUAAAGCACGUAACUGAAAAAGCGCGAUAGCCCGGGGUUCGAUUCCCCGCGUCGGAA